rnacentral:rRNA from 1 species
UACGUAUGGUGCAAGCGUUAUCCGGAUUUACUGGGUGUAAAGGGAGCGCAGGCGGUACGGCAAGUCUGAUGUGAAAGCCCGGGGCUCAACCCCGGUACUGCAUUGGAAACUGUCGGACUAGAGUGUCGGAGGGGUAAGUGGAAUUCCUAGUGUAGCGGUGAAAUGCGUAGAUAUUAGGAGGAACACCAGCGGCGAAGGCGGCUUACUGGACGAUUACUGACGCUGAGGCUCGAAAGCGUGGGGAGCAAACAGG